rnacentral:rRNA from 1 species
AUUGAACGCUGGCGGCAUGCUUUACACAUGCAAGUCGAACGGUAACAGGGAGCUUGCUCCGCUGACGAGUGGCGAACGGGUGAGUAAUAUAUCGGAACGUACCCAAGAGUGGGGGAUAACGUAGCGAAAGUUACGCUAAUACCGCAUACGAUCCAAGGAUGAAAGUGGGGGACCGCAAGGCCUCAUGCUCCUGGAGCGACCGAUAUCUGAUUAGCUAGUUGGUGAGGUAAAGGCUCACCAAGGCAACGAGCAGUAGCUGGUCUGAGAGGACGACCAGCCACACUGGGACUGAGACACGGCCCAGACUCCUACGGGAGGCAGCAGUGGGGAAUUUUGGACAAUGGGCGCAAGCCUGAUCCAGCAAUGCCGCGUGAGUGAAGAAGGCCUUCGGGUUGUAAAGCUCUUUUGUCAGGGAAGAAACGGUGGGAGCUAAUAUCUCCUACUAAUGACGGUACCUGAAGAAUAAGCACCGGCUAACUACGUGCCAGCAGCCGCCGUAAUAC